rnacentral:rRNA from 1 species
AUUGAACGCUGGCGGCAUGCCUUACACAUGCAAGUCGAUCGGUAACAGGUCUUCGGAUGCUGACGAGUGGCGAACGGGUGAGUAAUACAUCGGAACGUGCCUAGUAGUGGGGGAUAACUACUCGAAAGAGUGGCUAAUACCGCAUGAGAUCUACGGAUGAAAGCAGGGGAUCGCAAGACCUUGUGCUACUAGAGCGGCCGAUGGCAGAUUAGGUAGUUGGUGGGAUAAAAGCUUACCAAGCCGACGAUCUGUAGCUGGUCUGAGAGGACGAUCAGGCACACUGGGACUGAGAAACGGCCCAGACUCCUACGGGAGGCAGCAGUGGGGAAUUUUGGACAAUGGGCGCAAGCCUGAUCCAGCAAUGCCGCGUGCAGGAUGAAGGCCUUCGGGUUGUAAACUGCUUUUGUACGGAACGAAAAGCCCCGGGUUAAUACCCUGGGGUCAUGACGGUACCGUAAGAAUAAGCACCGGCUAACUACGUGCCAGCCGCCGCGGUAA